CGCUUCAUGACACCUGACGGUGCCCGGCCUGCCGGGUGAAAAGGGAACGCAGUGCAAAACUGCGGCUGCCCCCGCAACUGUAAGUGCUGACUGUCGCUCCGUAACGGGCGAACAGUACGGCUUCAGGAGAGAACCCACUGGCCCGGUGCCGGGAAGGGGCCUGAGACCGGAGCGCGAGCCAGGAGACCUGCCGUCAGCAUGAGUUGUCC
rnacentral:ncRNA from 2 species